UGCAACUCGCCUACACGAAGUUGGAAUUGCUAGUAAUCGUGGAUCAGCAUGCCACGGUGAAUACGUUCCCGGGUCUUGUACACACCGCCCGUCACACCAUGGGAGCUGGUAACACCCGAAGUCAGUAGUCUAACCGCAAGGAGGACGCUGCCGAAGGUGGGAUUAGCGACUGGGGUGAAGUCGUAACAAGGUAGC
rnacentral:rRNA from 1 species